CUCAGUUCUGAUAAAAUACUGAUAGUAGGAGAUUUUAAUAUCCAUGUGGACAAAGAUAGUGAUAGCCUGAGCUCAGCCUUUAUGUCCCUAAUAGACUCAGUUGGCUUUUUUCAAACUAUUAAUGAAGCUACUCAUCGUUUAAAUCAUACUCUUGAUCUUGUUCUAACAUAUGGCCUUGAUAUUAAUGAUCUAAAAGUCUACCCUGAAAAUCCUCUGCUAUCAGAUCACUUUUUAAUAUCUUUUAACAUUAUCCUAGAGGAUCUCGCACUGUGCAAUAAAAUAGUUACGAGUAGAAAUCUGUCCAACAGUGCUGUGGCUAAAUUUAAAGAGGCCAUUCCUGCUGCCUUAAACUCAGUGCACCAUCCAAUAAAUAACUAUGACAUUAAUUAUAACCCCUCUCAACUGGAUCUGCUUGUCGAUAGCUCUGCUAGUCUACUAAAAUCCACCUUGGACUCAAUUGCCCCAUUGAGGGAAAAAACUAUUAAACGUCAGAGGAAAGCUCCGUGGUUUAGCUCUGAAACUCACACACUCAAACAAACAACCCGUAAAUUAGAGAGAAUGUGGCGCUCCAAUAAAACAGAGGAGUCACGAAUACUUUGGCAAGAAAGCCAUAGUAAAUACAUGACAGCCUUACGACAUAGUCGAUCUACAUACUACUCCUCACUAAUUGAAGAAAAUAAAAAUAAUCCGAGGUACCUUUUCAGCACUGUAGCCAGGCUAACACAAAGUCAGAGCUCUAUUGAGCCCAUGAUUCCUCUAGCCCUCAGCUGUGAGGACUUUAUGACAUUUUUUAACAAUAAAAUUCACAAGAUUAGAGAUAAAAUUAGCCACUCCCUGCCUUCACCUGGGCCUGCUGUACCAUUAAAUGUAAAUAGGCCUAACCUAAACUGUUUCACACAUAUAGGACUUCAGGAACUUAACUCUAUUAUUUCAUCCUCCAAACCAUCGACCUGCCUUUCAGAUCCGAUCCCAACUAAGCUGUUUAAAGAAGUUGUUCCCCUGGUCUGCCCAUCUUUGUUGGAGACAAUAAAUAUAUCCCUAUCAAUAGGCUACGUGCCACAGUCCUUUAAAGUAGCUGUAAUCAAACCCCUUCUCAAAAAACCUACUCUUG
rnacentral:lncRNA from 1 species